UACGGGAGGCAGCAGGGGGAAUAUUGCACAAUGGGCGCAAGCCUGAUGCAGCCAUGCCGCGUGUAUGAAGAAGGCCUUCGGGUUGUAAAGUACUUUCAGUCGUGAGGAAGGUGUUAAGGUUAAUAACCUUAGCAAUUGACGUUAGCGACAGAAGAAGCACCGGCUAACUCCGUGCCAGCAGCCGCGGUAAUACGGAGGGUGCGAGCGUUAAUCGGAAUUACUGGGCGUAAAGGGCACGCAGGCGGUUAAUUAAGUUGGAUGUGAAAUCCCCGGGCUUAACCUGGGAAUGGCAUUCAAGACUGGUUAGCUAGAGUCUUGUAGAGGGGGUAGAAUUCCAUGUGUAGCGGUGAAAUGCGUAGAGAUGUGGAGGAAUACCGGUGGCGAAGGCGGCCCCUGGACAAAGACUGACGCUCAUGUGCGAAAGCGUGGGGAGCAAACGAGGGAUUAGAUACCCGU
rnacentral:rRNA from 1 species